AGGGCUCUGGUCCUGCUGUCACCACCCAGCACCCACCGAGUCUAUCCACAGCUUCUCUCACAGGCCAAGGGCCGCACCCCAGAUCUGGCCUGGCCUGGAAGGGCAGGAAAACAACAGGCAAAGAGGUAAAGAGAGCUGGAAGCCAAGCCUAGAUUUCUCCUGUAAACCCUGGGCUCCUUCAAAUACACCUCAGCUGCUUCAAACUGAACAGAUCUGACUCUCUGAGACCUCAGUGAAAAGGUCCUGGACCCCCACCUUCUUCUCCUCAGCUCUAAAUGGCAUAUAAUCCUCCAUGCCUGACUGCCUGUGGGCCUCAUAGUCCCAGAUGGUAAUCCUUUUUCCAAAAUCAUCUUUUUAGGGGCAUCUGGGUGGCUCAGUGGUUGAGCGUCUGCCUUUGGCUCAGGUAGUGAUCCCAAGGUCCUGGGAUCAAGUCGCCCACCAACUGAGCCAGCC